UUAGGAAUCUUCCACAAUGGGCGAAAGCCUGAUGGAGCGACACCGCGUGAAGGAUGAAGCCUUUAACUAGGUGUAAACUUCUGUUAUGAGGGACGAAAUUUUUGACGGUACCUCAUGAGAAAGCACCGGCUAAUUCUGUGCCAGCAGCCGCGGUAAGACAGAAGGUGCAAGCGUUACUCGGAAUUACUGGGCGUAAAGCGUCUGUAGGUGUCCUUCCACGUCUGGAUUUAAAUUGCGAAGCUCAACUUCGCAUCUGAUCUGGAAACGAGAAGGAUCGAGUCAUUCAGAGGCAUCUGGAAUGUCAUGUGUAGGGGUAAAAUCCGUAGAUACAUGAUGGAACGCCAAAAGCGAAGGCAGGAUGCUAGGAAUGUACUGACACUCAGAGACGAAAGCGUGGGGAGCAAAGGGG
rnacentral:rRNA from 1 species